rnacentral:rRNA from 1 species
CCGGUGAUCUAGCCAUGGGCAGGUUGAAGGUUGGGUAACACUAACUGGAGGACCGAACCGACUAAUGUUGAAAAAUUAGCGGAUGACUUGUGGCUGGGGGUGAAAGGCCAAUCAAACCGGGAGAUAGCUGGUUCUCCCCGAAAGCUAUUUAGGUAGCGCCUCGUGAAUUCAUCUUCGGGGGUAGAGCACUGUUUCGGCUAGGGGGUCAUCCCGACUUACCAACCCGAUGCAAACUACGAAUACCGAAGAAUGUUAUCACGGGAGACACACGGCGGGUGCUAACGUCCGUCGUGAAGAGGGAAACAACCCAGACCGCCAGCUAAGGUCCCAAAGUCAUGGUUAAGUGGGAAACGAUGUGGGAAGGCACAGACAGCCAGGAUG